rnacentral:rRNA from 1 species
UAGGGAAUCUUCCGCAAUGGGCGAAAGCCUGACGGAGCAACGCCGCGUGAGUGAUGAAGGUCUUCGGAUCGUAAAACUCUGUUAUUAGGGAAGAACAAAUGUGUAAGUAACUAUGCACGUCUUGACGGUACCUAAUCAGAAAGCCACGGCUAACUACGUGCCAGCAGCCGCGGUAAUACGUAGGUGGCAAGCGUUAUCCGGAAUUAUUGGGCGUAAAGCGCGCGUAGGCGGUUUUUUAAGUCUGAUGUGAAAGCCCACGGCUCAACCGUGGAGGGACAUUGGAAACUGGAAAACUUGAGUGCAGAAGAGGAGAGUGGAAUUCCAUGUGUAGCGGUGAAAUGCGCAGAGAUAUGGAGGAACACCAGUGGCGAAGGCGACUUUCUGGUCUGUAACUGACGCUGAUGUGCGAAAGCGUGGGGAUCAAACAGG